rnacentral:rRNA from 1 species
AAACUUUCAACAACGGAUUUUUGGUUCUGGCAUCGAUGAAGAACGCAGCGAAAUGCGAUAGAUGUGAAUUGCAGAAUUCAGUGAAUCAUCGAAUCUUUGAACGCACAUUGCGCCCGCCAGUAUUCUGGCGGGCAUGCCUGUCCGAGCGUCAUUU